rnacentral:rRNA from 1 species
GACGAACGCUGGCGGCGUGCUUAACACAUGCAAGUCGAACGGAAAGGCCCUGCUUUUGUGGGGUGCUCGAGUGGCGAACGGGUGAGUAACACGUGAGUAACCUGCCCUUGACUUUGGGAUAACUUCAGGAAACUGGGGCUAAUACCGGAUAGGAGCUCCUGCUGCAUGGUGGGGGUUGGAAAGUUUCGGCGGUUGGGGAUGGACUCGCGGCUUAUCAGCUUGUUGGUGGGGUAGUGGCUUACCAAGGCUUGGACGGGUAGCCGGCCUGAGAGGGUGACGGCCACAUUGGGACUGAGAUACGGCCCAGACUCCUACGGGAGGCAGCAGUGGGGAAUAUUGCACAAUGGGCGGAAGCCUGAUGCAGCAACGCCGCGUGCGGGAUGACGGCCUUCGGGUUGUAAACCGCUUUCGCCUGUGACGAAGCGUGAGUGACGGUAAUGGGUAAAGAAGCACCGGCUAACUACGUG